rnacentral:rRNA from 1 species
GACGAACGCUGGCGGCGUGCUUAACACAUGCAAGUCGAACGCUGAAGCUCAGCUUUUGUUGGGUGGAUGAGUGGCGAACGGGUGAGUAACACGUGAGUAACCUGCCCCCUUCUUUGGGAUAACGCCCGGAAACGGGUGCUAAUACUGGAUAAUCACUGGUCUUCGCAUGGGGGUUGGUGGAAAGGGUUUUUCUGGUGGGGGAUGGGCUCGCGGCCUAUCAGCUUGUUGGUGGGGUGAUGGCCUACCAAGGCUUUGACGGGUAGCCGGCCUGAGAGGGUGACCGGUCACAUUGGGACUGAGAUACGGCCCAGACUCCUACGGGAGGCAGCAGUGGGGAAUAUUGCACAAUGGGCGCAAGCCUGAUGCAGCGACGCCGCGUGAGGGAUGGAGGCCUUCGGGUUGUGAACCUCUUUCGCUCAUGGUCAAGCCGCAACAAUGGUUGUGGUGAGGGUAGUGGGUAAAGAAGCGCCGGCUAACUACGUG